rnacentral:lncRNA from 1 species
UGUUUGGAUGAUUUAGAUUCACGUUUCUGCAUCUUCCGUUUUUCAGUAAAAGCCCCAAAACCAAAUGGACCUCCUGGACCAAAAGCUGACAAACUAAUUGUUGCAACAUUUGCAGCUAAAGGGUUAAACUUUGGUUCGGAUUCAGGUUUUAUCUGUUCAAAUUCUCGCUCAAACAGAGGGACAAUCCCGUCUUUUCCAUGGAAAAGCUUGAAAGCCAUUUCAAAGCUGGAGUCAUCUUCAAAUAUUGGACCCCUGUCUCCAUUUUCCUGAACAGGCAGAUGGAUUGACGCGAAAGAGAAGUUGGUUGUUUUGUUGAUGUUCCUUAAAAAAGGACAUCUUUGAAUGUCUUGCUGAUUAAAAGGACCGUCAGAUGUCUUAUCCAUUGCUUCUUAGUGCAAAAUUAC